AGCUGGAUUCCACCCAGUGAUUGACACAGACCACUCACCAUGGAGCUGGGGCUGUGCUGGGUUUUCCUUGCUGCUCUUUUAAAAGGUGUCCAGUGUGAGGUGCAGCUGGUGGAGUCUGGGGGAGGCUUGGUGCAGCCUGGAGGGUCCCUGAGACUCUCCUGUGCAGCCUCCGGAUUCACCUUCAGUGAUUACUACAUGAGCUGGAUCAGCCAGGCUCCAGGGAAGAGGCCUGAGUGGCUCUCAUCCAUCAGUGAUGGUGGUGUUAGCACAUACUACGCAGACUCCGUGAAGGGCCGCUUCACCAUCUCCAGAGACAACAGCAAGAACACACUUCACCUGCAGAUGAACAGCCUGAGAGAGGAGGACACGGCCCUCUAUUACUGUGCCAGAGACACACUACUACAGAUUUUUGAAUAUUAUAAAGCACCUUGUUUACAUGUAUAG